rnacentral:rRNA from 1 species
GACGAACGCUGGCGGCGUGCUUAACACAUGCAAGUCGAACGGAAAGGCCCUGCUUUUGUGGGGUGCUCGAGUGGCGAACGGGUGAGUAACACGUGAGUAACCUGCCCUUGACUUUGGGAUAACUUCAGGAAACUGGGGCUAAUACCGGAUAGGAGCUCCUGCUGCAUGGUGGGGGUUGGAAAGUUUCGGCGGUUGGGGAUGGACUCGCGGCUUAUCAGCUUGUUGGUGGGGUAGUGGCUUACCAAGGCUUUGACGGGUAGCCGGCCUGAGACGGUGACCGGCCACAUUGGGACUGAGAUACGGCCCAGACUCCUACGGGAGGCAGCAGUGGGGAAUAUUGCACAAUGGGCGGAAGCCUGAUGCAGCAACGCCGCGUGCGGGAUGACGGCCUUCGGGUUGUAAACCGCUUUCGCCUGUGACGAAGCGUGAGUGACGGUAAUGGGUAAAGAAGCACCGGCUAACUACGUG